rnacentral:snRNA from 1 species
GGGUGUGAAGGUGCUCUAGCUGUGACAUCUGUUUUUCACUGAUCAUAAGGGUUGACUUGGCUGUUCUGGUUGGCCAGAUGCGUGUUCCCUUCCUGUCUCACCACUUCAUGUUUGUCCUUCCUAAAGCUGUGCAGUCAGGAUAUAAGAGAAAAUGUGCUCUCCUACUAGAACCUCCAAACAAGCACUCAACACCCAUUUGUAGGAGAACGUAGGGUAUUCAAGCUUUCAAGACUCCAGACAUACCCAAAUGAGGCACUGCAUGCGGCAGCCUGCCUUUCUUA